AGAUGGGUGAAAUAUGAUGAGUGUACAAACUCUUGAUUAAAAAAUGAUAACUUUUAAGAUCCAACUCUGAUUUCAUCCAGAG